UACGUAGGUGGCAAGCGUUGUCCGGAUUUACUGGGCGUAAAGAGCGCGCAGGCGGUCGAGUAAGUCGAAUGUGAAAGCCCCCGGCUUAACUGGGGAGGGUCAUUCGAUACUGUUCGACUUGAAGGCAGGAGAGGGCAGCAGAAUUCCCGGUGUAGUGGUGAAAUGCGUAGAUAUCGGGAGGAACACCAGUGGUGCAAACGGCGCCCUGGGUCCGAACUGACGCUGAGGCACGAAAGCGUGGGGAGCGAACGGG
rnacentral:rRNA from 1 species